rfam:Schistosoma mansoni strain Puerto Rico chromosome 2, complete genome
CUAGUAACUCCGCCUGUAGCCCCUCCGCGGGCUACUGCCGGUCCCAAGCCCGGAUAAAGGAGGAGGGUUGG